rnacentral:rRNA from 1 species
CCCUUAGAUGUUCUGGGCCGCACGCGUGCUACACUGACACUUACACCGAGUUUUUCCGGCCCCGAGAGGUGGCUGGUAAUCAGUAAUAGGUGUCGUGAUGGGGAUAGAUCUUUGGAAUUAUUGAUCUUGAACGAGGAAUGCCUAGUAAUCGUAGGUCAUCAGCCUGCGAUGAUUACGUCCCUGCCCUUUGUACACACCGCCCGUCGCUCCUACCGAUUUCGAGUGGUCCGGUGAACCUUUCGGACAGAGAGAGUCUCGUACAAUCUCUGAAAGUCAAGUAAACCACAUCACUUAGAGGAAGGAGAAGUCGUAACA